rnacentral:misc_RNA from 1 species
CUCCGUUGGCAACAAAGCUUGGCGAGCAUUUGGCGUUAUUUUUUUCCCGUAAAUUUUUCCGCGAGGUCAAGAAUUGGCGCUAAUUUAGUUCACGUGUUAAUUAGCGAGUGUGAGAUAUCCUACCACGUGGUGAAGAUUUUUUCACAACUUUAAAUCAGCGAGUAGCAGCUUUGAACCGUUUACAGGUCGUCUCAUCAUUUUGGAGCUAAGUUAUUGGCUAGGGAUGGAUUACAUCUAAACCGUCUGGGGAACAAGAAACUUGCGGCAGUUUUCCUGGAUAAUAUCAAGAUUGUUUUGACUUCAAAGCCAGUUUCUACAAAGAGGAAUCAGAGAAUUUGUACUUAACACUUCAUCCCAUUGACUGUGAAGGAUUUCCUCAGGAAUGAUUAGUGGUUCUGCACCAAUUUUCAUGGCCAAUGGGAUAGUAUGCAAGUACUGCAAAUUUUUCUGUUCAUAAAUAAUCUCAUAUCUGAUCUCAAUCUGAUCAUUUUUAAUAUUUCAGGCUUAUGUUUGCAAAAUGAAUAGUGCAUUGUUUUCAGUGAUCUUGGCUGUUUCACAAUUGAAUUUAGUCUUCUUUAUUUUUCAGUAAACGAUUGGCAGGAAUCUGGUAUGUAUUUAAAAGUCAAGAGCAAGCUCUGCCAGGAGAAUUUUCUGAAACUGAAACUCAUAAAAUUUUUGAGUAAUAUGGUUGAUGAAUAAUAAUAUUUAUACUCUAUUCAAGGAAUUUUAUCUGAUAUGUCUUUAUUUUCAGAAAUAAAAGAUGAAUAAAAACUUUGUAAAAUAAUUAUUAUGUAUUCUGAAUAAAGUCUGGGGAAAAAAUUA